rnacentral:rRNA from 1 species
AUUGAACGCUGGCGGCAGGCCUAACACAUGCAAGUCGAACGGUAACAGGAAGCAGCUUGCUGCUUUGCUGACGAGUGGCGGACGGGUGAGUAAUGUCUGGGAAACUGCCUGAUGGAGGGGGAUAACUACUGGAAACGGUAGCUAAUACCGCAUAAUGUCGCAAGACCAAAGAGGGGGACCUUCGGGCCUCUUGCCAUCGGAUGUGCCCAGAUGGGAUUAGCUAGUAGGUGGGGUAAAGGCUCACCUAGGCGACGAUCCCUAGCUGGUCUGAGAGGAUGACCAGCCACACUGGAACUGAGACACGGUCCAGACUCCUACGGGAGGCAGCAGUGGGGCAUAUUGCACAAUGGGCGCAAGCCUGAUGCAGCCAUGCCGCGUGUAUGAAGAAGGCCUUCGGGUUGUAAAGUACUUUCAGCGGGGAGGAAGGGAGUAAAGUUAAUACCUUUGCUCAUUGACGUUACCCGCAGAAGAAGCACCGGCUAACUCCG